UUGAAAUCCCUUCAAGGAUGGCAUAGUUAUGGACCAGACAGGGAAAAAGCCCUGUUUACCUUUAACCUCCAAUUGUGACCUUGACCUUUAAGCCAGGGGUCCGGGUUUUGCACAUGACACGUUGUCUCGUUAUGGGGAACAUUUGUGCCAAGUAAUAUUAAAAUCCCUUCAUGGAUGACAGAGUUACGGACCGGACACGAAAUUGUGGAUGGACGUACGGAAUGACGGACAGAAAAGCGCAUUCCUAGAGUCCCCGAAACUUUUUUCAACCAAUAGGGGACUAAUAAAAAGACAAAUUUAUCUCCCCUGAAACACUAAAAUCAGGCCAUGGAACAUAACAGAUUAGACCUGUAAAUACAGGUUUUAUGAUUUCACCAUCAUUACAGUUAGGCCAACGUUUUUUUGUGAUUUUUCGUUACUCAGACCCUCCUGCCCUAUUUUCUGUCAUUUUCAAAAAAAAAGAAAAAGUGAAAUUUCAAAAAUUGCAAAUAUUUUUAAGAACAGUGAUUGAUGUUUUGCUGAGUUCUGAUGAUGACAACUCCAGUAUCUGUCCGUGUCAUAUAGGCGUGAUCGAUUUCCUCUCAAAUGAAAGCGUCUUCCACAUGUAAAACAAUUGUGUGAAAUUUAAGUUUACCUUUGAACCAUUUACAAUAUGCAAUGAAAAAGCGAAAUCCUGUAUAUCGACAAUUAAACAAUGAAACACAAGUUCUGUAAAGGCCAUUCCAAGAAGAUGAAAGCAUAAAAACUUUACAGUGUCUCAGAUAUAUGCUAGAUGUAACCGAAUGUAAAUAACAAUGGCAAAACUGAAUGUGAAUUUGACAUGCAUUUGGAAUGGGAAGAGGUAUAUUGAGGUGACUGUAGGAGCAACAAAGUGCUGCCGAACAAAGGAGUCAUCCAAUGAAGCUUUUGCUCACUUAUCGUCUGUUGUUUUACUGCCUUUUUUCCCCCUCCUCCUCAGUCAACAUUUUUCUGCCCAGAAUCCGAGUAACAAAAAAUUGAAAAACUCUGGCCUUAUGUUCAGUGUUUAGUCAUGUUUGACACUUUGUUAAUAUUUUGAGUAAAAUACGUGUGUCAUAAAAUUUUAAUGGUAGUCUUUCUUGAUAUCACUGCCUCAUUUUCUUAUAAUUUGCACUAUAAACCAAUUAAUCUUUUACAGACCUCUAACUAGAUCAAUGAGUAUGUGUGCUGUGCUGUGCUGUGCUUAGAUAUUGUUAUGAAGUAAUGCAACCUGUAUCUAAAAGAAUGAAAUGAGAGUGCUCCUGCAAUGCUGAUAUAGAUGGAAAUUUCAAAUUGGCUGCCUCGAUCUGUAUACAUAUAGAUGUUGUACUGUGAACUACAGGACUCUCAAUCUCACUCAAGUUGAUGGGUCAGUUGCACGAAUGGUAACUGUAAUUCACACUGGUCACGGGAAAAAGUGCCGCUGUGUGGGAAUCAAUUGUAGUUUCUCCGGUUUGUAUUUCGUAUGUUUUUACAGCAAUGUAGCGAGUUUGAAAAAUUCUGCGGGCAAAGUAGAACACUUAAUUCAAACCUUACAUAGACAGGAACUGUUUUUGCCAGAAAGUUCAGCUGUGUUACACAGUGUAAGAAUUUGUGCAGGGUGAAUUGUGCUGCCAUGGUGCAGUGUAAUGAUAUGAAAACUAUCAGUAUUACAGGGGCGUCAAAUUCAAUUGUCCGUAUUGCCCAGGUUGUCCCAAAGCUUGUACGGACAAGUGAAAUUUGACAAGAAUUUACUAUAUAACUAUCAUACGGACAAGUAAAAAAUAGCAAAUGACAAAAACGGACAAGCAAGUAAAAAUCAGAUUUUGUCCCCCCUGUAUUAGUGUUCAGUUAUAAAAUGAAACAACUGUCCUACAUCAAAAACUGUUUCAGACAUAAAAAAGUCAUGAGGUUUUUGUAAACAAAUAUAAUGAUUAGAUAAUGAUUGAAUAAUCUUUAAAAAAAAUUGAAAUGUAUGCACUAUUAUUAUGUCCUUGAUGUAACAACUUUUACGACUUAAAAAGUAACA